AUUUCUUUGAUCUAUAAUAAUAAUAAAAACAUGACUGAGGAAAUUGAAGAGAAAAAGAGAGUACGUAGCACAAAUUACACAGCAGAGGAAAAGCUGUUCUCAUAAAUAUUAUUAGCAAAUAAAAAUAUCAUUGAAUCCAAAAAAA